rnacentral:rRNA from 1 species
CAGUCGCCGCGGUAAUACGGAGGGAGCUAGCGUUGUUCGGAAUUACUGGGCGUAAAGCGCACGUAGGCGGUUAUUCAAGUCAGAGGUGAAAGCCCGGGGCUCAACCCCGGAACUGCCUUUGAAACUAGAUGACUGGAAUCUUGGAGAGGUCAGUGGAAUUCCGAGUGUAGAGGUGAAAUUCGUAGAUAUUCGGAAGAACACCAGUGGCGAAGGCGACUGACUGGACAGGUAUUGACGCUGAGGUGCGAAAGCGUGGGGAGCAAACAGGAUUAGAGACCCCUGUAGUCCCUGUCUCUUAUAC